CAUGCGUCAGUCACUGCGACCCCCAAGGAUACACCUACAUAGGUCUGGACGGCUUGAAUUGCCGGUGUGGCAAUGAGCCCGGCAAACUAGGACGGCUAGCGGAGAGUGACUGUGAUUUGCCGUGUGUCGCCGACGUCAGUGUGACGUGCGGGGGCGGCAACACCAUCAGCUCUGUCUACCGUAUACACCAGGACGACUUCAAUCACAUGAGAUUCCACGACAGCCGUAAACCCGCCGGUGGCGUACUGUCACCUGACGUCAGCGCAAGCCCGGUAGGUGGUGCCACCACGGUGAUAGAGUGUGGCGUCUACUGCUUGGUGUCUCCACCGUGUUUCGGCUUCGUGUGGAUCGAAGGAGGAGGGGGAGGAGGAGGAGGAGGAAGAAAAGGAGGAUGCGAGCUUAUCACCUCGAUGCUGCGUGGUGAAUACACAAUUCCCGAUGGAGGGAAAUACUAUAGAGUGUAACAGCGACCACGUCAGGAGAUAAAUUGAUUACUUGGCGUUUAUACGCGUAUAAUGCGACUUUUAUUUCUAAUUCUUUCAUACAUUUUUAUUUAAGUAAAGAUCAGAAUACCUGAAUUAGAUAUCUCUACUUCAUGCAAUCUCGAUAAAAAGAAAUACUGAUGCAUUAAAAUAACAGAUUAUUCGUUGUUUGUGUGUAGUGAUGAAAAGGUUAUGUCUUCACUGAUGUACUUUUAUAUUUUUCUUGAUCAAAGGAAAUUCUUUGAUGUAUUCGGACCGUAGCUAGUGUGUGAGGGGAGGGUAAGGGGCAAUUCCCUCCAGAAAAAUUAUAUACAAUACAUGAUCAAUAGCGGUCAGCUUCCCAGAACAAACCAUGCAUGUGGCUUUGCACCCGCCCAAGCAAAAUGGGUUAGCUACGCUCCUGGUAUCUUUACUGCUAUUCAUUCGCUCUUAGCAUUUUGAGCGUACUAUAUUGAGCUAUUGUAGUGUAUAAAUGUUUGGCGUGUGUUAGCCAUAUUUAUUUAUACUGUAUUUAGUCAUAAUUCUAGGGAUGAAGGUGAGGCAAUUCCGCGCACUGUUUAUAUUUUAGGCAGACGACCGUCCGUUGCUCACUGCGUUGACUAUUUUCAAUGUAACAUUUUCAACAUUUAUCUACAUUGCCGCCAGUGCCGCUAU